GUCCUAAGAUGAGCUCAACGAGAACAAAAAUCUCGUAUGGAACAGAAGGGUAAAAGCUCAUUUGAUUUUAAUUUCCAGUAAGAAUACGAACCAUGAAAUCAUGGCCUAACGAUUCUUUAGACCUUCGGAAUUUGAAGCUAGAGGUGUUAGAAAAGUUACCACAGGGAUAACUAGCUUGUGGCAGCCAAGCGUUCAUAGCAACAUUGCUUUUUGAUCCUUUGAUGUCGACUCUUCCUAUCAUUGUGAAGUAGAAUUCACCAAGUGUUAGAUUGUUCACCCACCAAUAGGGAAUGUGAGCUAGUUUUAGACCGUCGUGAGACAGGUUAGUUUUACCCUACUAAUGACAGUGUCGCAAUAGUAAUUCAACUUAGUACGAGAGGAACCGUUAAUUCGUAUAAUUGGUCAUCGCGCUUGGCUGAAAAGCCAGUGGCGCGAAGUUGCCAUGCGCUGGAUUAUGACUAAACUCCUCUAAGUCAGAAUCCGAGCUAAAAGCGACGCAUGCGCCGGCCGCCCACUUGCCGACCGGUAGUAGGGGCUAUCCGGCCCCCAAAGGCACGUGUCGUUGGUAAAGCCCGCGCAGCAGAUGAGUCGCGUGGGCCGCCUUGAAGUAUAAUUCCUAUCUCAAGCGACGGGUAGAAUCCUUUGCAGAAGACUUAAAUACACGACGAGGUAUUAUAAGUGGCAGAGUGGCCUUACUGCCACGAUCCACUGAGAU
rnacentral:rRNA from 1 species